GACGAACGCUGGCGGCGUGCUUAACACAUGCAAGUCGAACGGAAAGGCCCUGCUUUUGUGGGGUGCUCGAGUGGCGAACGGGUGAGUAACACGUGAGUAACCUGCCCUUGACUUUGGGAUAACUUCAGGAAACUGGGGCUAAUACCGGAUAGGAGCUCCUGCUGCAUGGUGGGGGUUGGAAAGUUUCGGCGGUUGGGGAUGGACUCGCGGCUUAUCAGCUUGUUGGUGGGGUAGUGGCUUACCAAGGCUUUGACGGGUAGCCGGCCUGAGAGGGCGACCGGCCACAUUGGGACUGAGAUACGGCCCAGACUCCUACGGGAGGCAGCAGUGGGGAAUAUUGCACAAUGGGCGGAAGCCUGAUGCAGCAACGCCGCGUGCGGGAUGACGGCCUUCGGGUUGUAAACCGCUUUCGCCUGUGACGAAGCGUGAGUGACGGUAAUGGGUAAAGAAGCACCGGCUAACUACGUGCCAGCAGCCGCGGUGAUACGUAGGGUGCGAGCGUUGUCCGGAUUUAUUGGGCGUAAAGGGCUCGUAGGUGGUUGAUCGCGUCGGAAGUGUAAUCUUGGGGCUUAACCCUGAGCGUGCUUUCGAUACGGGUUGACUUGAGGAAGGUAGGGGAGAAUGGAAUUCCUGGUGGAGCGGUGGAAUGCGCAGAUAUCAGGAGGAACACCAGUGGCGAAGGCGGUUCUCUGGGCCUUUCCUGACGCUGAGGAGCGAAAGCGUGGGGAGCGAACAGGCUUAGAUACCCUGGUAGUCCACGCUGUAAACGGUGGGUACUAGGUGUGGGGUCCAUUCCACGGGUUCCGUGCCGUAGCUAACGCUUUAAGUACCCCGCCUGGGGAGUACGGCCGCAAGGCUAAAACUCAAAGGAAUUGACGGGGCCCCGCACAAGCGGCGGAGCAUGCGGAUUAAUUCGAUGCAACGCGUAGAACCUUACCUGGGUUUGACAUGGAUCGGGAGUGCUCAGAGAUGGGUGUGCCUCUUUUGGGGUCGGUUCACAGGUGGUGCAUGCCUGUCGUCAGCUCGUGUCGUGAGAUGUUGGGUUAAGUCCCGCAACGAGCGCAACCCUUGUUCACUGUUGCCAGCACGUUAUGGUGGGGACUCAGUGGAGACCGCCGGGGUCAACUCGGAGGAAGGUGGGGAUGACGUCAAGUCAUCAUGCCCCUUAUGUCCAGGGCUUCACGCAUGCUACAAUGGCUGGUACAGAGAGUGGCGAGCCUGUGAGGGUGAGCGAAUCUCGGAAAGCCGGUCUCAGUUCGGAUUGGGGUCUGCAACUCGACCUCAUGAAGUCGGAGUCGCUAGUAAUCGCAGAUCAGCAACGCUGCGGUGAAUACGUUCCCGGG
rnacentral:rRNA from 1 species